rnacentral:rRNA from 1 species
AUUGAACGCUGGCGGCAUGCCUUACACAUGCAAGUCGAACGGCAGCACGGGAGCAAUCCUGGUGGCGAGUGGCGAACGGGUGAGUAAUAUAUCGGAACGUGCCCAGUCGUGGGGGAUAACGUAGCGAAAGCUACGCUAAUACCGCAUACGAUCUAUGGAUGAAAGCGGGGGAUCGCAAGACCUCGCGCGAUUGGAGCGGCCGAUAUCAGAUUAGGUAGUUGGUGAGGUAAAGGCUCACCAAGCCGACGAUCUGUAGCUGGUCUGAGAGGACGACCAGCCACACUGGGACUGAGACACGGCCCAGACUCCUACGGGAGGCAGCAGUGGGGAAUUUUGGACAAUGGACGCAAGUCUGAUCCAGCCAUUCCGCGUGCAGGAUGAAGGCCCUCGGGUUGUAAACUGCUUUUGUACGGAACGAAAGGUCUCUCUUUAAUACGGGGGGCUCAUGACGGUACCGUAAGAAU